UACGGAGGGUGCAAGCGUUAUCCGGAUUCACUGGGUUAAAGGGUGCGUAGGCGGGUAUAUAAGUCAGUGGUGAAAGCUCCGAGCUUAACUUGGAACUGCCAUUGAUACUGUAUAUCUUGAAUGUCGUUGAGGUUAGCGGAAUGUUGCAUGUAGCGGUGAAAUGCUUAGAUAUGUUACAGAACACCAAUUGUGAAGACAGCUAACUAAGUGAUGAUUGACGCUGAGGCACGAAAGCGUGGGGAUCAAACAGG
rnacentral:rRNA from 1 species